AUAACACCUGGAAACAGAUGCUAAUACCGGAAUAACAACAGAUGAUGCCUAUCAACUGUUUAAAAGAUGGUUCUGCUAUCNACUCUUGGAUGGACCUGCGGUGCAUUAGCUAGUUGGUAGGGUAACGGCCUACCAAGGCGAUGAUGCAUAGCCGAGUUGAGAGACUGAUCGGCCACAUUGGGACUGAGACACGGCCCAAACUCCUACGGGAGGCAGCAGAC
rnacentral:rRNA from 1 species